AUUGAGAAAAAAAAGAAACAAAACGUUGAUAAAUGCGAAGUUUUAUUGUAGCCUAUUUCUACUGCUACGCGACAUGCGCUACGCAACGGUAAACUAAACAGAAUCCUCGUUCGUUGUAUUUGAUUUACUUUUGUAUUUCUGUUUUGUGUUUAC